GUCAUCAUCUACAAAAAAAACAGUCUUCCACAACACACCCCCUCCCACAAUUCUAAAGUCAAGAAAUGAUUUUAGCAACUCUCCAUAUCUCUCUCACCCUCACCUACUCAAGAAAUUAUUGAGUAAUCUGAUGGAAUGGUAAGAGGGAGUUUCUUGAUGGGUUUCUUGAUCUUUUAGGGUUCUGGGCUAGGAAGAAACUCUCAAGACUCCAUGCACAGACUGUGUUGUAAGCUAUACAUACGGAACACUGAUCAUCAAACAGAUGGCAUCACCAAGAAAAAAGUUAAGCUGCUGCUUACUAUUCUCUGUCCUUAUUAUCAUUGUGCUACUUUUGGCAAGAAUUUCUUCAUGUUCUGCUUCUGGGUCUCAUAGAAAAAGCAGCCUAAAAAGUGCUUCUGGGUCUCAUAGAAAAAGCAGCUUAAAAAGUGCUUCUGGGUCUGCUGAGUUUAAGCCUGUUGAUUCGAAGGGUUUGUUUAGAGGAUACCAAAAUGGAGAUGGA